GAAGUGGGACCUAGUUCCCAGCCCCCUGAGCAUCGGCUAUACUUAGUAACUGGUUUCUAAUGAGCGGAAUGUGAAGGAAAUGAUGGUGUGUGAAUUCCAAGGCUAGGUCACAAACAGCAUCAUGGCUUCUACCUUGUUCCCUCUUGUGGAUCACUUCUCUGGGGGAAGCCAGCUGCCAUAUCAUGAGGACAAUCAAGGAACCCAGUGGAGGGGCCCAUGUAGAGAAGAACUGAGGUUUGCUGUCGGCAACGUGAUCUCACCAGGAUUGGUUCCAUUUCACUGCCAAGCCAAGUGCCUCUCUGAUUAAAGAGUAUGUUCACUUUAUCUCCCUUAGUCUCCCACAAGCCUUACCCUUAAGAACAAGCAUGGAAGGUUUCGCACCGAAAAAACAAACCAUAUUUUUACCAGAAAAUAUUUAGUAAAAUGAGUUUUUAUUGCUGAGAACUUCACCAAGUAUAAAUUUCAUGCCUAAAAGGAAUGGGCCUUUUGUAUUUCCCCUCAAUAAAUAAAUAGCUUCUUUCCUCAAGAA